rnacentral:rRNA from 1 species
UGAUUUACUCAUGGAGCUGAAGUCAGUCGAAGAUACCAGCUGGCUGCAACUGUUUAUUAAAAACACAGCACUGUGCAAACACGAAAGUGGACGUAUACGGUGUGACGCCUGCCCGGUGCCGGAAGGUUAAUUGAUGGGGUCAGCGCAAGCGAAGCUCCUGAUCGAAGCCCCGGUAAACGGCGGCCGUAACUAUAACGGUCCUAAGGUAGCGAAAUUCCUUGUCGGGUAAGUUCCGACCUGCACGAAUGGCGUAAUGAUGGCCAGGCUGUCUCCACCCGAGACUCAGUGAAAUUGAACUCGCUGUGAAGAUGCAGUGUACCCGCGGCAAGACGGAAAGACCCCGUGAACCUUUACUAUAGCUUGACACUGAACAUUGAGCCUUGAUGUGUAGGAUAGGUGGGAGGCUUUGAAGCGUGGACGCCAGUCUGCGUGGAGCCGACCUUGAAAUACCACCCUUUAAUGUUUGAUGUUCUAACGUGGAUCCGUAAUCCGGGUUGCGGACAGUGUCUGGUGGGUAGUUUGACUGGGGCGGUCUCCUCCUAAAGAGUAACGGAGGAGCACGAAGGUUGGCUAAUCCUGGUCGGACAUCAGGAGGUUAGUGCAAUGGCAUAAGCCAGCUUGACUGCGAGCGUGACGGCGCGAGCAGGUGCGAAAGCAGGUCAUAGUGAUCCGGUGGUUCUGAAUGGAAGGGCCAUCGCUCAACGGAUAAAAGGUACUCCGGGGAUAACAGGCUGAUACCGCCCAAGAGUUCAUAUCGACGGCGGUGUUUGGCACCUCGAUGUCGGCUCAUCACAUCCUGGGGCUGAAGUAGGUCCCAAGGGUAUGGCUGUUCGCCAUUUAAAGUGGUACGCGAGCUGGGUUUAGAACGUCGUGAGACAGUUCGGUCCCUAUCUGCCGUGGGCGCUGGAGAACUGAGGGGGGCUGCUCCUAGUACGAGAGGACCGGAGUGGACGCAUCACUGGUGUUCGGGUUGUCAUGCCAAUGGCACUGCCCGGUAGCUAAAUGCGGAAGAGAUAAGUGCUGAAAGCAUCUAAGCACGAAACUUGCCCCGAGAUGAGUUCUCCCUGAGACUUAGAGUCUCCUGAAGGAACGUUGAAGACGACGACGUUGAUAGGCCGGGUGUGUAAGCGCAGCGAUGCGUUGAGCUAACCGGUACUAAUGAACCGUGAGGCUUAACCUU